UCCUACGGGAGGCAGCAGUGGGGAAUAUUGGACAAUGGGCGAAAGCCUGAUCCAGCAAUGCCGCGUGAGUGAUGAAGGCCUUAGGGUUGUAAAGCUCUUUUACCCGGGAUGAUAAUGACAGUACCGGGAGAAUAAGCCCCGGCUAACUCCGUGCCAGCAGCCGCGGUAAU
rnacentral:rRNA from 2 species